rnacentral:rRNA from 1 species
GGGGAAUAUUGCACAAUGGGCGAAAGCCUGAUGCAGCGACGCCGCGUGAGCGAAGAAGUAUUUCGGUAUGUAAAGCUCUAUCAGCAGGGAAGAAAAUGACGGUACCUGACUAAGAAGCCCCGGCUAACUACGUGCCAGCAGCCGCGGUAAUACGUAGGGGGCAAGCGUUAUCCGGAUUUACUGGGUGUAAAGGGAGCGUAGACGGCUGUGCAAGUCUGAAGUGAAAGCCCGGGGCUCAACCCCGGGACUGCUUUGGAAACUGUGCAGCUCGAGUACCGGAGGGGUAAGCGGAAUUCCUAGUGUAGCGGUGAAAUGCGUAGAUAUUAGGAGGAACACCAGUGGCGAAGGCGGCUUACUGGACGGUAACUGACGUUGAGGCUCGAAAGCGUGGGUAGCAAACA